GCCGCCGUGGCGGAAUUGGCAGACGCGCAUGGUUCAGGUCCAUGUGCCCGCAAGGGCGUGGAGGUUCGACUCCUCUCGGCGGUAC
rnacentral:tRNA from 3 species